GCAGCCACUUCACAUUGAAACACCUGUUCUCGUACCAUCACCGACGUUAAGCAACGUCAAGCCUGGUCAGUAUCUAGAUGGGUGACCGCUUGGAUAUACGAAGUGCUGUAAG